rnacentral:lncRNA from 1 species
UAGUGUCUCCUUGGUGCCAUUAGCUCCUGAAACACAACGACUCGGUUAAUUACCUUAACCCACUAACUUCGUCGCAAAUACUAGCCAACGCAACUCAAUCGGGCGAAAGUCAUACAAGGGUGCCCAUUCUCACCACUCAGUUUCAUGUUGUAUGCAUCCAACAUGAACACUCUCGGGUGAGAAUAAACAAGACCUUGAAUCCACCUCUAACAUCCAUCUUAGAGGUUUACUAACUUGACCCAAUCGAUCCAACUUUCGCCACCGUAUAGGUUCACGUCACUCACGCACCUAUAACCUUAGGGUUCACCGUCCUAGGGUCUCCUAGGUCCAUCCUAGACUUCUCUCUUUACUUGCUCUCAACUGCUCUGAUACCACUUUUAUCUGUCACGUCCCGAAACCGAUACCAAUUUGGUCCAGUUCGGGCACGCCGAACGGACAGCACCUCCCCUGUCCGCCCAAGGCUAACAACGAGAUUGUGUACAACAAGUUCCCAGGAAAAUACUUGAAUACAUACACAAUCUAUAACUACAACGAGAGCACAACCAGUGCUAAACAACUAAGAGCAAGAUACAAGUAUA